UACAGAGGUAGCGAGCGUUACUCGGAUUUAUUGGGUGUAAAGGGCAGGUAGGUGUUCUGUCAAGUUAGAAGUGAAAUCCUGUGGCUCAACCACAGAACUGCUCCUAAAACUGACGGAAUUGAGAAUAGAAGAGGAAAGCGGAAUUCCCGGUGUAAGGGUGAAAUCUGUAGAGAUCGGGAGGAACACCAGUGGCGAAAGCGGCUUUCUGGUCUAUUUCUGACGCUGAACUGCGAAAGCUUGGGGAG
rnacentral:rRNA from 1 species